AUACGUAGGGUGCAAGCGUUAAUCGGAAUUACUGGGCGUAAAGCGUGCGCAGGCGGUUUUGUAAGACAGAGGUGAAAUCCCCGGGCUCAACCUGGGAACUGCCUUUGUGACUGCAAGGCUAGAGGACCGCAGAAGGGGGUGGAAUUCCGCGUGUAGCAGUGAAAUGCGUAGAUAUGCGGAGGAACACCGAUGGCGAAGGCAAUCCCCUGGGCCUGUACUGACGCUCAUGCACGAAAGCGUGGGGAGCAAACAGGAUUAGAUACCCUGGUAGUCCACGCCCUAAACGAUGUCAACUGGUUGUUGGGUCUUCAUUGACUCAGUAACGAAGCUAACGCGUGAAGUUGACCGCCUGGGGAGUACGGCCGCAAGGUUAAAACUCAAAUGAAUUGACGGGG
rnacentral:rRNA from 1 species